CUUACCUUAGUUUAAAUUAGAAUUAGGGUUUUGGGGACCUUUGGUCUCAUUAUGAGAGGUUUGA
rnacentral:tRNA from 1 species